GGGGUUGUGGCUCAGUGGUAGAGUGCUUGCCUAGCAUGUAUGAGACACUGAGUUGGAUCCUCAGCACCACUA
rnacentral:tRNA from 1 species